rnacentral:rRNA from 1 species
UACGUAGGGUGCAAGCGUUAAUCGGAAUUACUGGGCGUAAAGUGUGCGCAGGCGGCCGAGCAAGUCGAGUGUGAAAGCCCCGAGCUUAACUUGGGAACUGCGCUCGAAACUGCUUGGCUAGAGUGUGGCAGAGGGAGGUGGAAUUCCACGUGUAGCGGUGAAAUGCGUAGAGAUGUGGAGGAACACCGAUGGCGAAGGCAGCCUCCUGGGCCAACACUGACGCUCAUGCACGAAAGCGUGGGGAGCAAACAGGAUUGAGAA